CCAGACUCCUACGGGAGGCAGCAGUAGGGAAUCUUCCGCAAUGGACGCAAGUCUGACGGAGCAACGCCGCGUGAGUGAAGAAGGUUUUCGGAUCGUAAAACUCUGUUGUUGGAGAAGAACAAGUGCUAGAGUAACUGUUAGCGCCUUGACGGUAUCUAACCAGAAAGCCACGGCUAACUACGUGCCAGCAGCCGCGGUAAUACGUAGGUGGCAAGCGUUGUCCGGAUUUAUUGGGCGUAAAGCGAGCGCAGGCGGUUCCUUAAGUCUGAUGUGAAAGCCCCCGGCUCAACCGGGGAGGGCCAUUGGAAACUGGGGAACUUGAGUGCAGAAGAGGAGAGUGGAAUUCCAUGUGUAGCGGUGAAAUGCGUAGAUAUAUGGAGGAACACCAGUGGCGAAGGCGACUCUCUGGUCUGUAACUGACGCUGAGGCUCGAAAGCGUGGGUAGCAAACAGGAUUAGAUACCCUGGUAGUCCACGCCGUAAACGAUGAGUGCUAAGUGUUGGAGGGUUUCCGCCCUUCAGUGCUGCAGCUAACGCAUUAAGCACUCCGCCUGGGGAGUACGACCGCAAGGUUGAAACUCAAAGGAAUUGACGGGGGCCCGCACAAG
rnacentral:rRNA from 1 species